rnacentral:rRNA from 1 species
UCUAGUAGCUGGUUCCCUCCGAAGUUUCCCUCAGGAUAGCUGGUGCAUUUAAAUAUUAUAUAAAAUAAUCUUAUCUGGUAAAGCGAAUGAUUAGAGGCCUUAGGGCCGAAACGGCCUUAACCUAUUCUCAAACUUUAAAUGGGUAAGAACCUCACCUUUCUUGAUAUGAAGGUUGAGGUUAUGAUAUAUUGUGCCCAGUGGGCCACUUUGGUAAGCAGAACUGGCGCUGUGGGAUGAACCAAACGUGAUGUUAAGGCGCCUAAAUUAACAACUCAUACUGAUACCAUGAAAGGCGUUGCUUGCUUAAAACAGCAGGACGGUGGACAUGGAAGUCGUAAUCCGCUAAGGAGUGUGUAACAACUCACCUGCCGAAGCAACUAGCCCUUAAAAUGGAUGGCGCUCAAGUUGUAUGCCUAUACAUCACCGCUAAAAUAUAUGAUUUAUUUAUAUUUUUUUUUAUAUAAAUUUUGAAAUUUUAGUGAGUAGGAGGGUACAAUGGUGUGCUUAGAAGUAUUUGGCGUAAGCCUGUAUGGAGCCGCCAUUGGUACAGAUCUUGGUGGUAGUAGCAAAUAAUCGAAUGAGACCUUGGAGGACUGAAGUGGAGAAGGGUUUCGUGUGAACAGUGGUUGAUCACGAGUUAGUCGGUCCUAAGUUCAAGGCGAAAGCCGAAAAUUUUAAGUUAUAUUAUAAUUAAUAUACUUAUUAUAUUUAUGAACGAAGGGAAUACGGUUCCAAUUCCGUAACCUGUUAAGUAUACGUUUGUUAUUAAAAAUGGGCUUUUAUGCUCAUCCUGGCAACAGAAACAACCAUAAAGAAGCCGUCGAGAAAUAUCGAAAGAGUUUUCUUUUCUGUUUUAUAGUCGUACUACCAUGGAAGUCUUUCGAAGAGAGAUAUGGUAGAUGGGCUAGAAGAGCAUGGCAUUUACUGCUGUGUCGAUAUUUUCUCCUCGGACCUUGAAAAUUUAUGGUGGGGUCACGCAAACUUCUUAACAGGCCGUACCGAUAU